rnacentral:rRNA from 1 species
UACGUAGGGUGCAAGCGUUAAUCGGAAUUACUGGGCGUAAAGCGUGCGCAGGCGGCUUUGCAAGACAGAUGUGAAAUCCCCGGGCUCAACCUGGGAACUGCAUUUGAAACUGGAAGGCUAGAGUGUGGCAGAGGGGGGUGGAAUUCCACGUGUAGCAGUGAAAUGCGUAGAUAUGUGGAGGAACACCGAUGGCGAAGGCAGCCCCCUGGGCUAACACUGACGCUCAUGCACGAAAGCGUGGGGAGCAAACAGG